AGCUCCAGUAGCGUAUAUUAAAGUUGUUGCAGUUAAAAAGCUCGUAGUUGGAUUUCUGGUACGCUGCGCCUGGACCGCCCGCUUUAAGCGGUGUGUGUUCCGGAGCGCGGUUGCCAUCCUUCUAGAAAACGUUUCUAUCCUUCGCUGGACCGGAUUCGCAAUCUAGAUCUUUUACUUUGAAAAAAUUAGAGUGUUUAAAGCAGGCUUAUGCUAUGAAUACAUUAGCAUGGAAUAAUAAUAUAGGACUUUGGUUCUAUUUUGUUGGUUUCUAGGACUAAAGUAAUGAUUGAUAGGGAUAGUUGGGGGUGCUAGUAUUCAGCGGCCAGAGGUGAAAUUCUUGGAUUCGCUGAAGACUAACUUAUGCGAAAGCAUUCACCAAGGAUGUCUUCUUUAAUCAAGA
rnacentral:rRNA from 1 species